rnacentral:rRNA from 1 species
GACGAACGCUGGCGGCGUGCUUAACACAUGCAAGUCGAACGAUGAAGAAGAGAAACGCGAACUUCGGUUCAACUUUCACUUCGGAUUAGUGGCAGACGGGUGAGUAACGCGUGAGCAACCUACCUCUUACAAAGGGAUAGCCUCGGGAAACCGUGAUUAAUACCAUAUGACACAUUCAUAAGGCAUCUUAAGAAUGUUAAAGCUACGGCGGUAAGAGAUGGGCUCGCGUCCCAUUAGCUAGUUGGUGAGGUAACGGCCCACCAAGGCGACGAUGGGUAACCGGCCUGAGAGGGUGAACGGUCACAUUGGAACUGAGACACGGUCCAAACUCCUACGGGAGGCAGCAGUGGGGAAUAUUGCACAAUGGAGGGAACUCUGAUGCAGUGACGCCGCGUGAGCGAUGAAGGAAUUCGUUUCGUAAAGCUCUGUUCUAUGGGAAGAAAAGGACUGUACCAUAGGAGAAAGCCCCGGCUAAAUACGUG